GCGCCGGUAGUCUAGCGGUAGGAUCCAGGCCUUCCAAGCCUGUGACGCGGGUUCGAUUCCCGCCCGGCGCA
rnacentral:tRNA from 1 species